UCCCACCACUGCCGCUUGCCUCCCGCCGUUUUUGGCAAUGGUAGAACUCACACUGGUGAGGUAAUGGGAUCCGGUGGUUCUAGACUUGCCAACUAUGGUGCGAGGCCUCCUCAGGCAGCUCUGCA
rnacentral:pre_miRNA from 12 species